GGACCCCGCCCCAGCCCCGAGAUGGGACGGGGUGGGACGGGGCGGGAACCGGACCUGACCGAACCGCCGAACGGACCUCCGUUCAUCAGCAGCUCUCUGAGCUACUCUGCUGUCCACAACUUGAAGGUUCUGUCAUAGGAGCAGGUUGCUAUCAGCUGCCCAUCAAGGGAGAUGUCCAACCCCAUCACCUUCCCCUCGUGACCUGCCAGUGUUUUCAGAGGGGACCAGCCAGGGCCUGAGGCAAAGCACCCACCCCGUGCCAGCCAGAGACCCGUCGGUGUGGAAGGCGAUGUCGUAGACCCCUUUGCUGUGCCCCUCC